UGUUGUAGAAUCACUGGUGAAUAAGGGGUGGGCAAGUUCUGGUGUCAGCCGCCGCGGUAAAACCAGCACCUCGAGUGGUCAGGAGGUUUAUUGGGCCUAAAGCAUCCGUAGCCGGUUGCAUAAGUUUUCGGUUAAAUCUAUGCGCUUAACGUAUAGGCCGCCGAAAAUACUGUGCAGCUAGGGAGUGGGAGAGCUACACGGUACUCGAUAGGAAGGGGUAAAAUCCUUUGAUCUAUUGAUGACCACCUGUGGCGAAGGCGGUGUACCAGAACACGUUCGACGGUGAGGGAUGAAAGCUGGGGGAGCAAACCGGAUUAGAUACCCGGGUAGUCCCAGCUGUAAACGAUGCAGACUCGGUGAUGCAUUGGCUUGUGGCCAAUGCAGUGCCGCAGGGAAGCCGUUAAGUCUGCCGCCUGGGAAGUACGUACGCAAGUAUGAAACUUAAAGGAAUUGGCGGGGGAGCACCAUAAGGGGUGAAGCCUGCGGUUCAAUUGGAGUCAACGCCAGAAAUCUUACCUGGGGAGACAGCAGAAUGAAGGUCAAGCUGAAGACUUUACCAGACACGCUGAGAGGUGGUGCAUGGCCGUCGCCAGCUCGUGCCGUGAGAUGUCCUGUUAAGUCAGGUAACGAGCGAGACCCCUGCGUCUAGUUGCUACCAUUACUCUCUGGAGCAGUGGAGCGAAUUAGACGGACCGCCACAGUUAAUGUGGAGGAAGGAAGGGGCCACGGCAGGUCAGUAUGCCCCGAAACCCUAGGGCUACACGCGGGCUGCAAUGGUAUUGACAAUGUGUUCCGAAUCCGAAAGGAGGAGGCAAUCAUCAAACAUAUCUCAGUUAUGACUGAGGGC
rnacentral:rRNA from 1 species